rnacentral:rRNA from 1 species
AGGACGAACGCUGGCGGCGUGCUUAACACAUGCAAGUCGAGCGGAAAGGCCCUUCGGGGUACUCGAGCGGCGAACGGGUGAGUAACACGUGGGCAACCUGCCCUUAGCUCUGGGAUAGCUCCGGGAAACCGGAAUUAAUACCGGAUAUGACCUAGGCCGACAUCGGCCGUGGUGGAAAGUUUUUCGGCUAGGGAUGGACUCGCGGCCUAUCAGCUAGUUGGUGGGGUAAUGGCCUACCAAGGCUUCGACGGGUAGCUGGUCUGAGAGGACGAUCAGCCACACUGGGACUGAGACACGGCCCAGACUCCUACGGGAGGCAGCAGUAGGGAAUCUUGCGCAAUGGGCGAAAGCCUGACGCAGCAACGCCGCGUGAGGGAUGGAGGCCUUCGGGUUGUAAACCUCUUUCAGCAGGGACGAUUGUGACGGUACCUGCAGAAGACGCCCGGCAACUACGCGCCAGCAGCCGC